CCAGCCUCCCAAAGUGCGGGCAUUACACGCGUGAGCCAGGAUGGCAUCCUGGUUCUCACUUCUGGGGUGGGGAUGUCUGUCCUGUGUUCGUCUCACAUGCGAAAUAUGUUCAUUGCAUCCCAGCGGCCCCAGAAGCCUUAACUCCCCCAGUGUGGCAUCGGCAGUCUCGUCUGAACCAGGUGUGGGGGAGCCUGGAGGCCCACUCCUCCUGAGGCCAAGAUCCUCCCUGGCUGUGGGCCAGCAUAACCAAGCAGGGCGUGCAUUUCCGGGGUCCCGGGCCAAACGUUAUGGACCGAGUGUCUCCCCAGAAUCCCUGUGUGGAAGCCCUAACCCCCCAGCGUGACGGUAUUUGGAGACGAAGCCUUUGGCAGGUAGUUAGGGUCAUGGAGGCAGGUAGUUAGGGUCAUGGCAGUAGUUAGUUAGGGUCAUGGUGGUAGUUAAUGUUAUGGCAGUAGUUAGUUAGGGCCACAGCAGUAGUCAGUUAGGGUCAUGGUGGCAGUUAGUUAGGGUCAUGAUGGUAGUUAAUUAGGGUCAUGGUAGUAGUUAGGGCCACAGCGGUAGUUAGUUAGGGUCAUGGUGUUAGGUAGGUAAGGCCAUGGUGGUAGAGCCUCUGUGGUAGGAUAAAUCCUACCCUUCUAGGAUGAGAGGAUGAGACGCAAGAGAGGCUGUGCCUGUGCUCUCCCCACCACGUGAGAGCAUGGUGAGCGUGCGGCCGCCAGCCGGCGAGGAGAGACCAGCCCUGCGGGUGCCCUCAUCCUGACUCCAGCCUCAGAAACGUGAAAAAGUAAAUGCCUGUCAUUGAAGCCGCACAGCCCAUGGUAAUUUGCAUGGCAGCUGAGCUGACUGAGGCAGUCGUGGCU